GGAAACAGGUGUCGCUCUCAGCCACCACUGAGUCCAAGCGCAAUGAAAAUUUUCCGGUCAAAUAUACGAGGCAGAAUUCACGACGUAAACCUAAAAAGAUGAAGCACCUUGACAAAUUAGUUCUACCUCAGGUUGAGAUUAGGGAAACACAAGAAAAGUUCAGUAAUCACCAGUGUGGCCUAGAUUCGAAUGGCGAAAAGGCCUGUGGCAAGAGAAAAACAAGCACAACUAUCGCGGUAGAUUGUGGAUCUGAUGAUGAUGCUGUGACUCAGGGGCCGGAACAUCAAGAACUGAAUCAGAGUGUUGUGCGACAUCGACACCUUUGCCCGAUAAGAAGUUGUUAGCUGCUAUUUUUAUCAAGCUGCAAGAAAAGGAUGCUUACAGGGUAUUUUCUAAUUCCGUGGACGUCUUACAACUUCCUGAUUAUUACGAUGUGGUAAAGCAGCCGAUAGACUUUGCAACUAUUCGGAAGAAGCUAAGGAAAACUGUUACAAGUGUUUGGAGGACUUGGAGG